UAUAGAAACAUAAGCAGGUAUGAACGC
rnacentral:sRNA from 1 species